rnacentral:rRNA from 1 species
GAUGAACGCUAGCUACAGGCUUAACACAUGCAAGUCGAGGGGCAGCAUGGUCUUAGCUUGCUAAGGCCGAUGGCGACCGGCGCACGGGUGAGUAACACGUAUCCAACCUGCCGUCUACUCUUGGACAGCCUUCUGAAAGGAAGAUUAAUACAAGAUGGCAUCAUGAGUCCGCAUGUUCACAUGAUUAAAGGUAUUCCGGUAGACGAUGGGGAUGCGUUCCAUUAGAUAGUAGGCGGGGUAACGGCCCGCCUAGUCUUCGAUGGAUAGGGGUUCUGAGAGGAAGGUCCCCCACAUUGGAACUGAGACACGGUCCAAACUCCUACGGGAGGCAGCAGUGAGGAAUAUUGGUCAAUGGGCGCAGGCCUGAACCAGCCAAGUAGCGUGAAGGAUGACUGCCCUAUGGGUUGUAAACUUCUUUUAGAAAGGAAUAAAGUCGGGUAUGUAUACCCGUUUGCAUGUACUUUAUGAAUAAGGAUCGGCUAACUCCGUG